rnacentral:rRNA from 1 species
AUUGAACGCUGGCGGCAGGCUUAACACAUGCAAGUCGAGCGGGGUGAUGGUGCUUGCACUAUCACUUAGCGGCGGACGGGUGAGUAAUGCUUAGGAAUCUGCCUAUUAGUGGGGGACAACAUCUCGAAAGGGAUGCUAAUACCGCAUACGUCCUACGGGAGAAAGCAGGGGAUCACUUGUGACCUUGCGCUAGUAGAUGAGCCUAAGUCGGAUUAGCUAGUUGGUGGGGUAAAGGCCUACCAAGGCGACGUUCUGUAGCGGGUCUGAGAGGAUGAUCCGCCACACUGGGACUGAGACACGGCCCAGACUCCUACGGGAGGCAGCAGUGGGGAAUAUUGGACAAUGGGGGGAACCCUGAUCCAGCCAUGCCGCGUGUGUGAAGAAGGCCUUAUGGUUGUAAAGCACUUUAAGUGAGGAGGAGGCUCUUUUGGUUAAUACCCAAGAUGAGUGGACGUUACUCGCAGAAUAAGCACCGGCUAACUCUGUGCCAGCCGCCGCCGUAA